GGAUUGGCGCAUCGAUCAUACCUCACGGGGUAUGAACUGGUGCAGUCAAUUUCUCACCUUCUGGAGAACCGCGAUGUCCUUAAUUGGAUGCCGCGGGGAACCAGGACCUUUACUUUGAAAAAAUUAGAGUGUUUAAAGCAGGCAUUCUUGCUUGAAUACAUUAGCAUGGAAUAAUAAAAUAGGACGGCAUGGUUCUAUUUUGUUGGUUUCUAGGGUCGCCGUA
rnacentral:rRNA from 1 species